CAGCCGCCGCGGGAAUACAGAGGGUGCAAGCGUUAAUCGGAAUUACUGGGCGUAAAGCGCGCGUAGGUGGUUUGUUAAGUUGGAUGUGAAAGCCCCGGGCUCAACCUGGGAACUGCAUCCAAAACUGGCAAGCUAGAGUACGGUAGAGGGUGGUGGAAUUUCCUGUGUAGCGGUGAAAUGCGUAGAUAUAGGAAGGAACACCAGUGGCGAAGGCGACCACCUGGACUGAUACUGACACUGAGGUGCGAAAGCGUGGGGAGCAAACAGGAUUAGAGACCCCGGUAGUCCCUGUCUCUUAUAA
rnacentral:rRNA from 1 species